rnacentral:tRNA from 1 species
GCCACGGUGGUCUAGCGGUUAGAACGCUGGCCUUGUAAUCCUGGGGUCUCGGGUUCGAUUCCCAGCGGUGUCC